rnacentral:misc_RNA from 1 species
GAUGAAGAACGCAGCGAAAUGCGAUAAGUAGUGUGAAUUGCAGAAUUCAGUGAAUCAUCGAAUCUUUGAACGCACAUUGCGCCCCUUGGUAUUCCAUGGGGCAUGCCUGUUCGAGCGUCAUUUGUACCUUCAAGCUUUGCUUGGUGUUGGUGUUUGUCCCUCGGGACUCGCCUUAAAGUCAUUGGCAGCCAGUGUUUUGGUUUUGAAGCGCAGCACAAGUCGCGAUUCAAGGCUAUCCGCCCGCUUCCACAAGCCUUUUUCACUUUUGACCUCGGAUCAGGUAGGGAUACCCGCUGAACUUAAGCAUAUCAAUAAGCGGAGGA